UCUUCCUACGGGGCGCAGCAGUGGGGAAUAUUGCACAAUGGGGGGAACCCUGAUGCAGCGACGCCGCGUGGGUGAAGAAGUCAUUCGUGACGUAAAGCCCUAUCAGCAGGGAAGAAAAUGACGGUACCUGACUAAGAAGCCCCGGCUAACUACGUGCCAGCAGCCGCGGUAAUACGUAGGGGGCAAGCGUUAUCCGGAUUUACUGGGUGUAAAGGGAGCGUAGACGGCAAUACAAGUCGGAAGUGAAAUACCCGGGCUCAACCUGGGAACUGCUUUGGAAACUGUAUGGCUGGAGUGCUGGAGAG
rnacentral:rRNA from 1 species